rnacentral:rRNA from 1 species
CUACGAGUACAAACUUAAAAUUUAAAAGACUUGACGGUACCCCACACCAACCUAGAGGAGCCUGUCCAAUCAACCGAUACCCCACGAUCAACCCAACAUACUCUAGCCCCACAGUCUAUAUACCGCCGUCGCCAGCUUACCUUGCAAAAGAAACAAAGUGAGCACAACAAGCCCCCCCCCCC